GAAGCAAAAUGUUAAAGUUGCAGCUGAAGAUAAGUCGUAGUGGUUUCUUUUUUUAAAGUUUAUUUGCUUUUAAUUUAAAAUAUACAGAAAAACCUACAUAUAAGCUAGUCAACAUAGUAUAUUUUUAUCUACCAUUGCAGUCUGUAUCACUUCUAUAUUAACUAUCCCAAGCUAAAAUAUUCCAGACCAUUUGGGUCUUAGUAUAAUGAUGUUGUGAUUUAUUGCACUCUCAGUUUCCAUCCAGCAGCAAUUACCAGAAGAGCUGAUAAUGGUCUGCAAUUUGUUUUCCAGAACUGGGAGUAGUUGCCAGCAACAGCCACUCACAGCGAAAGGCAAUGGCUGUUUACCUGCAUUGCUCAGUGGGACCAGGAAGGACAGACUCACUUGUGUCCUCCGCCAGAAGACAGUGACAUGACACAAAUGGUAGCACAGAGCUCUUACUGCUCCAUUCAAUAAGUGAUCCUCCACGGACAGACUGUGACUCCCCAAAGGUUGCAGGGAGAGCUGUUCAAGUGGAGGGGCACACCUUGUCAAUUGCUGAACGACCUCCUUUGUAAAUUGAGUGAGAGUGUGGGAUUUGCCCUGGAGCAUCUUUUCAGGCGUUCUGAAUUCUGCCACUGCCAUGACAGGAGCCUUUGGACUCAAGCUGCCAUGGUGCCUGAAGUCAUCACCAGGCUGGGAGAGGCACCAGAUGGGCAAGAAGGCUACAGCUUCUGCAGGACCCGGAAGAAAUGUCCAGAUCCAGAGGGUGAGGAAUUCAUCCACCAGCCUCUGUCAGGUUGUGAAUGUGCAGUCUGUUUCUUCUGGAAGAGCCCCAAGUGACAGUGUUCAAGUGGACCAGAUCUGCCCCUAUGUAGGAUUGCUAUCAGGCAACAUGAAUGACAGACUAGGACCUCUGCCUAAGAAAUACAUUGAGGCAAAUGGUCACCACUGGGGAGGCAAAGAACAUUGUGCCCAGCAUGGUGAAUCACCAUAAAGAGGUUCCUCCCAACAGCCAUAGGAUGGUGGCACGUACUGCUUUGCCAUCCAGGAUGAUUUGACAGAGAACGUCUGCAAACAGGGCCUGAAAGGAGAGAAGUAUUCAAACAAGAACUGAAAUAUCAGACAACAAAGAUCAGAAAUACCUGCUUUAAUGGAAGAAUGUUAUGCUGAUUCUUCGGCUACAAAGGAUUGCUUGUGCCUUUUUACAUAGUUUCCAGCAGCAAGAAGAGACUCACAGCACGGAUUGCAUUUCUUCUCUUCAGCAAGGGGAAGAGGUCUGCAGCUCAUCUGCAUCAGUUCAUCUAUAACACUGAGCCAGGUGACGGGGCUGGGACUUAUCCCUGCACACAGGACCUGGUUCAUCCAUCCACAAGCGUAUCAGGAGUGGGGGACUUGUUUCUGGCAGUAGAUCUAAAAGUUUAAUGCGUUUACCGUGAACUCUUGCUGCACAUCAAGAAUUGAUUGCUGCCCACAGACAAGUGGGGUAAGAGCAGUGUAGCCUUGGUCUUAAAAACUGAGGGAUAGCAGGGAGCUGAACGUAAAUAGAGAAGAUGCCCAAGGCAGGUUGGUCUUCAGCAGUUCACCAUCAGCAGAUCAGACUUUCCAGAGCCUUGAAGGCUGAGCAGACAUCACUGGUUUUGCCAUUAGACCCAGGGGAAACAGCAUUAGGCCACUGCUGAGUGCUUUUGAAAACUUUUGCUCAUUGGGUUGGAAAUGGUAAGAGAGGAACGUCUCCACGCAUGAAGGUGUUGGAGGUAGUCACUGGAACAACAUCGCCCGAAAUUUGUGUCCACUUGAAAUGCUCCAUGUUUGUAAUCGCCGUGCAAGAAUGAGCAGACUCUUUCAAGGUCUUGGCUGUUGGCAUCUCUCUCACAAUAACUGAAGCAUGCUGAGUGAGAAGCACACCCGAAAGAAAACAGGGAGUUCAAAGGGGAACUGGAAGAUGGAGGCAAACAGAAAGAAAUGGAAGUGUCAUAUUUUUAAACAGAAAACAAAGAAGCCUAUAACCUAAAAACCCACAAGCCUGAAGGCACCAAGCCACCAGCACCUGAGAACGGUGGCAUGUCUUGGAAAUGAGCUCUGACAUCCACACUCCCCUCCUUCAGAGGGAAAGAAGAGGUGUUGUGUCACAGUACGGACUGAGAGAUUCUUCAGCUGGUAAAAAACACGAGAUUUCAGAUGAAUGAAGAGGUAAGAGAUGGCACUGGUAGUAAACUGCAACUGCGCGAGUUGCAUAAAUGCAGAGCGGAUUUCAGCGCCUAAUGCACGCAGCAGAGAUUUCCACCGUGAAGAUGGAGCGAGGGAGCCUGCAGCAUCUGAAGGGAAAUCAGCUGACGGCACCGCUCCGGCGAGCGGAGAUGUGAAACUGCCACAUACAGGGAAAGUGGAAGCGACUACUGAAACCUGCAAUGGCACCAACUCCCCGGAGCUUGAACUUCUGCGAUAAAAGGAAAGAGAUCAUUAACUGCGCGUGGGGAUCGCUCGUGGAGGAGGAAAAAAAACACCCUUUAACUCUGGAGUUUUUAAAAGUGCCCUUGUUUGUUUUCUUGGCAGAGGAUCGGAGCAUUUGGCACCCAUCCUUGGAAGGUGGCCCGGCUGUAAAAAUGCUGGGGUUGGCCCUUUCCAUGCUGUUGCUAAGCGGACGGCCCAAUAGCCGGCUGGGGCCCUCCAAACCCCACCCCGCGCUCCGGCCAGAUCCAGCCUGUAUUAAAAGCCUCUCUUCUCCCACUUGCUAAUAAUAAUUUAAUUUCUUUUUUAAGCCAAAGAAGUGCCAAAUUUAUAUAAGCCUGGCCAUGCCAAGAGGUGCAGGGUGUGCAGCCCGUGCCCCAAAGAGCCCUUUGCUUCGGGGCUCUGGUGCCGCUCCUGUCAGACCCGUUCCCCUUCUCUCUCCCCGCUCCCACAGCCUCAAGGUAUAGAACAGAACUAAGGGUGUUUUUUUUUUCCUCCCCCCUGCACCCACCCCUUUUUCUUUUUUAAUAACUUUAUCAACUCUGAACCCCAGGAUGAUUUGUGCAUUUCAUAUUCUCCCUGCACUUUUAUUCUCUGUUAGAAUUUGGAUACUUUCCAUUUCUCUUUCCCCCCCUCCCCUUUUCUCUUCUUUUUUUUCUUUCUUUCCCCCUGCUUGUUUGCGGUUUUGCAUGAAAAGGCAUUGUUAACUCUUUCACGAUCCGCUUGGAAAAGGACUUUCUUGGCUUGGCUGCUGGAGGCGUUGCUGGAAGAGCAAAAUAAAAGUGCAGGGUUUCAAAACCGUAGGCUGAAAAGAAGAGCAGCAGUGGAAAAGAUUUACAUUGAAACUGCUACUGUAGGAAAAGCAGAGCUCGGAGAGCCGAGCGCUGGUAUUUGUUUCCCAGAGCUCAGCUCUUGCUGCAUUGCACGACGUCUCCCUGAGCAGAUGCUGGAAGGCAGCAACACAGGGGGACACGGGCUCAGAACUGUGAGGAUGGGCACCCGUCCCCAUUGCAGUGCACACAGCAUUGCUUUUGCAUGCAGACUGGGAGAGUGCGUGCUUUGCUGCUGCCUGAGUGCAAAAGAAGCGAAAGGCGUUCUUCCCCACUGCACCUGGGUGAAGCGUGGGGAAACAGGAGGUCCUUGGUGUAGCAGAGAUGCACAAAAGGAGGUGGGGAAUUUUUCCCCGGGAGCUGCGAAAAGUGGAGGAUUCAUUUUCCCUUUUGUCCCUUGAGAUGAGAGGCUGGGAAGUUGGCAUCUGUCACUCCAAGCCUUUUUCCUCUUCCUCAGGACUUGCAGCUGCAGAAAGUGGGUCCAACCCGGCCGAGCUGCGUGAGAGCUGCCCAGCUGAGCUCCUUGAGCUGCUGCAAGCAGAGAUGGCUCAAACAGUUGGCAGCAGCGAGGAUCAGUUAUCUUUUUCUUUUAAAAAUAAUACGUUAUGCAAGUAGGUUUUAUUGUAGUUACGGGCAUUUAUUCUUUCUUGCUGGAGAUGAUAAAAUAAUCUCGUUGGAACCAACAGGAACAUAAAUUUAAUAAUGUGACGCUAUGGGCGCGUUAAAUGGUAUAACAUUGCUCCUAAAAGUUCUAAAAGCACAUUAAAAAAAUCCUUCAUAUAUUUGCACAUCCUGUGGUAAUUAGCACAUGAAUAUUUUCCAUUUGUAGCCUUUGAAAAAAUACUUUUCGAGUGGUUAAAAUCCAAUUUUUUUUCCAGCAUCCUCCACAGCCUUUUUGUGUGAUUCCUGCUCUUAAAUAUUUGUAUGCACGUUUGCGUGUGUGUUUGCUGUGCCUGUUAGUUCCGUUUUGUAGAACAAAUGGAGAAAACUAAAAUAUAGAUUUUUAACAACUACAAGAUUCCCUGCAGACAGGGUUUUGUACUGCAGCGGCUCAGAGGAAGAACACAGCAUGUAAUUCUACAUACAUCAGAGCCCUUUUCCAUUGCUCUUACCUCGUCAGCUGAAUGGAGAAUUAUAAAAACUAUGUCCCUGAUUCUGUAAAGAUUUGAAAAAGAGGCUUAACUUUAGGCACACAGGUAACUUCAAAGGGAAUUAAGUGAAAAUAUGAGAUGUGAGCAGUUCACUGCAGGCAGAUGCAUUAGAGAGAACGAUCUACACAGAACUUGAUCCAGAAGCUCGGGAAUUACAUUAACUGACCUUUGUGAGCUAAACAAAAGCUGAUUGGAAAAUAUAUUCGGAAGCUAAAGUGAAAUAUUAUAACAAAAUAAACCUCAGUGCAAUGGGUAUUCUUAUUACAGAGCAUCCUUUGACUCGUCUGUAGGCAAGGGGACUGGUGCUGCAAAAGGGAGUGGGAAUAUUGCCAUUGAUUUUAGUGAGGCCAGAAUUUUGCCCAAAACAUUUGCUUUCUCCUGGUUCUGAGGUAUUUUUUUAUUAACUCUGCCAUUGUUUCUUGUGUCUCUGCUGUCACAUUGCAUGGGGUGCAUGAGCAUUCUAAAAUUAACGAUGGACCUGAACUGCAGAGCACGGCUCAUUGAUCAAACCUCUGAAUCCAUCUCGACAAAGUUUGAUUAGAUGUUUGAUUCAAGGCUACUGUAUAGACACAUCUCUCUGUACAUUCACAAUUUUGUUGGCACACCUGUUGUGGCCUGGUUGGGAAAUUUUGUGCAUGUAGCAAAUCCUGGUCUAGUGGGGCAAGCUAAGCAUCGAUUUUGUUUCACCACGUCAGAGCAAGCUAUGUCAACUGCUGCACAUCACUUUGUGAUCAUGGUUAAAGCCAGUCCGACAAACAGCCACCUCAGCAAGCUGUCAUUUUAAUGUUUUAUCCAUUUUCUUUCUGUGUACGUGUGCUCCACAUUUCAGUGAAGCUUCGUCUCUCCUGCCCACUGCCAUAGGCUAAAAGUCUGCUGCAAGACUCAAGUCUCAAAUGUGUCACAUGUAAUGAAACAGGAAAAUUCCACCCAAAACAUUGAUUACUGGUGCUCCUGGUCAGGAAAAGGAGAGAACAAUGAGACAUGGGUAGUGACACCUGCACAGGGGCCAUGCAGGCAUCUCGCAGCCCUGAGAGUUCCCUCCUUCCUGCUCCCCUUCCUUCGUAAUGUUGCAAAUUCGAGACCUUCUAUAGUGUAAUUUUAAAGUACUUUGGCUUGUUUUAUCAUUAGCUCUUUGUUCAUCUACCUACUCAGAACUUUUAAAACCUAAUCUCCUUCCCAUUAAAACUCAAAAAUUUCUCUUGCUUUGAAGCGUUACAUCUUGGGAAGUCAAAACCUUCAGUGUCUGCCUGAGACAUUGAUAUUUUACCAACUUUAACAACUCAGCCCAUAGAUUUUUCUCUCUCUGAGUGGGGAAGUUUUGUUCUUAUCCCCAUUUUACGGGAUGAAAUCUCUUAUUCAGUGAAGUAUGUGAGCAUGUGCCAGUUUCAACAGAGCUGGUGGAAUCUUUCCAGGAUAGACUAGGUUUGCCAGAAGUGCAAUUUGAAGUGGAAAACUAUUCACAAAUUCAGGUUGAAUGCAGUGAAGAGUUUUGUCAGAAAGAAAAAACAGGGGCAUUUCUUUUCUCAGGAAGGUUUAAAUGUUUCAUUUCUGUAUUUUCAAAUUAAACUUUAUAAUUCUGGACUUUUUAAAGCCAGAUAUAUUUCAAAAUUAACCUUUCUUGUUCAUGACUAUUUUGAAAGCAAUGUGAUGAAAAGAACAUUAGACUUCUCGUUAUGAGAGCAAAUUGACACUGCUUUAAACUUCAUUUUGACGUUAUGAAGUGGUUUUUUUUCAGCUAGAGGUAUUUGGUGUUUAGUUUUUUUUUUGUUUGUUUAAAAAGGAAAACAGCAUGCAGAUUUCCAUUGUAGGGGGAAUCAAAGCAAUCUCAAGUGACCCAAAAUGAAAGUGUGGGGCGGUCUUAUGUUUGAUGCACCAAAAUACUAGACAUUUUGGAGUCAACCCCACCUUAAUCUUUUUUUUUUCCUUUUUUUUUUUUUCCAGUUUGCCAUUCAGCCACCAGACCGAAGGGAACACGUCCAUACAGCUCCAGCUCGUGCAGCAUACAGUCCUAUUGUUCUUGGUUGACUUCUGCAGAGCUUCUCGUGCUUGGAUUCAGCCUUGUAGUUUCACUGAGCCCACGCCUACACAAACCAGAGCAAGUUCAACAGGGAGAUGGGCACGGCUCCGCUCCCAGCUCUGGCUUCCAGGCUCAAGACUCUUCUUCUCCAGGUUGUCUGCUGGAGAAAAAGUUGGACUUAGAUGCUGCUGUGCUACUGUGAUGCUUCAUGAGUGAGGAUCUUCUGGUCCCUGCAGCCAGUAAAACACCCCUGGGCAGCACUGGGAUGAUGCAGUGAAGGUAUGUUACACGGAGUCCACAGCCACCCAGCCUGCACAGCUUCAUUUCUGGUCAGCUUUGGAUUCCCCUUCUAGAGACACAGAAUAUUUCUGGGCUACAGAUAAGAAGGUUCUGUUGUCCAGGACAAGCUCUUCAUUGUUUUCAGUUUCAGAGAAAAGAUACUGCCCAGGUAAAGCAAUACUUGUUGCAAUCAUCUUAUUAAGAAGUUUGGGAGGAAAAAGGUAAAAUUUUGUCAUAAGGCUUGAGUAACUAUGACUGUGAGCUAACACUGAAGGGAAUACAUCUUUAUUCCUUAUGUCUGAAGUACGUGAUGCAUCAAACACAGCAAAGCCAGCCAGUCAAAAGAGAUGAUUCUGCUCCUACAGUAUUUAGUGUUGGUAUGGCCUCACCUUGAAUAUUGUGUGCAGCUCUGGGCUCUGCAAUCUAGAAAGGAUAUGAAGGUACUUGGAAGCACACUGAGGAGGGCAACAGAACUGUAGCAUGGCUGGAAGGCAAGUCCUGUGAGAAGAAGCUGAGGUGACUGGGGUUGUCCAGUCUGAAGAAGAGAAGCUCUCUUCAGCUCCCUGAGAGAAAGCCGAGAGAGAUGCCGGGCUAUGCUCCUGGAAACUGUUGACAGGAUGGGAAAGGCACAAAGCUGUGCCAAGAAAGGUUAGGAUGGGCAUUAGAAGAAAUUAAUUUGCCACAAGGGUGGUUGAGCGCUGGAACAGGAUUUCUAGAGAGGUGGUUGAUGUCCCUUGGCUGUCAGAGUUCAAGAGACAUUUGGAUAGUGCUCUCAGUAACAUGCUUUAACUUUUGGUUAUCUCUGAAGUGGUCAGACAGUUGGACUGGAUGAUCUUU